GGAUGUUCAGUCAUUUUACCAGCCUAAUAAUGGUAAGUGAACCACUUCACAUAACUAAAAAACUAUCAGGUCGGACAGAUUUUAAAUGUGCUUUGUCUGAGUUAUAGCAAUCAUAGUUUAUGUUUUGUGUUCUCUCAUUUUAGACUUUUGUGGAAACUUCUUGGCAGAGCUAGAGUCAACAGAUCUCUGUAAUGAUGACUUUCCUGGCAAUCACCAUCAACACCCCCAGGGCUAUACAGACAUUGCUGCCAACCAAAACACCAAGAUGCUAACGGAGCUACUCAUGGAGGUGAAGCAAAUGUCACGGGACAUUCAGUUCAUAAAGACUGAAAUUGCCAAAUCCUCCAUGAGUAUUCCUGGAGCGGGAUCACAGAGAGAGGAGCCCUUCCCCAUUGUUCUGCCACUCGCCAAUGAGGAGCAGUUUGAUGAGGCUGAAGCUGCACUGAAGGAGGAAUUAGACCUUCGAAAUAUGGUGAACCAUUUUUUCAUACAAGUAUUUUCUUACAUUUUGUCAGGAAUUGUAGGUUUGGAGGCAUUAAAGGGAUAGUUUGGAUUUUUGGACAAGAGGUCGUAUUACAUCCUCAUCAGCGGUGUCGGGCAUCAGCAGUGCCUUUUCCCCCACUGCGUCCCGUGAGCGGAGUUCUGGCCCGGUUUUUGCGCUGCAGAAAGUAGUUUUGCUUCAAAAAAUAAUAUGCAUUCAAAAGAGUAAUACAUUUGCAUCACGAAUUGUUGGCCGUGAAAAAGUCUGACCUCAUCCGGCACUAUUUUCCCUCCCUUCAUAUUACUGGGCGUACCUUUUCAUCAGCUGAAGGAGGCAAAAGGAGACCGCUACGACGCUUCUCUCGCUGUCCAUUUGACAUGGCACAUUGUACACUUUAGCAAACUAACCAUUUUCUCUCUAAUCUGUUAAGAUUACCCGCUUGGCAUUAGUCGGAGGGACC